CCUACGGGAGGCAGCAGUGGGGAAUAUUGGGCAAUGGGCGCAAGCCUGACCCAGCAACGCCGCGUGAAGGAAGAAGGCUUUCGGGUUGUAAACUUCUUUUAAGGGGGAAGAGCAGAAGACGGUACCCCUUGAAUAAGCCACGGCUAACUACGUGCCAGGAGCCGCGGUAAUACGUAGGUGGCAAGCGUUGUCCGGAUUUACUGGGUGUAAAGGUCUUGCAGCCGGAGAGACAAGUCAGAUGUGAAAUCCACGGGCUCAACCCGUGAACUGCAUUUGAAACUGUUUCCCUUGAGUGUCGGAGAGGUAAUCGGAAUUCCAUGUGUAGCGGUGAAAUGCGUAGAUAUAAGGAAGAACACCAGUGGCGAAGGCGGAUUACUGGACGAUAACUGACGGUGAGGCGCGAAAGCGUGGGGAGCAAACAGGAUUAGAUACCCUUGUAGUC
rnacentral:rRNA from 1 species